UACGAACCGUACAAACGUUAUUCGGAAUCACUGGGCUUAAAGGGUGCGUAGGCGGCCAUGUAAGUGAGGUGUGAAAUCCCUCGGCUCAACCGAGGAACUGCGCUUCAUACUGCAUGGCUUGAGGGAGACAGGGGGUAAGCGGAACUGAUGGUGGAGCGGUGAAAUGCGUUGAUAUCAUCAGGAACACCGGUGGCGAAAGCGGCUUACUGGGUCUCUUCUGACGCUGAGGUACGAAAGCUAGGGUAGCGAACGGGAAUUAGAAACCCCCGG
rnacentral:rRNA from 1 species